rnacentral:rRNA from 1 species
GACGUAGGGCGCGAGCGUUGUCCGGAUUUCUUGGGCGUAAAGAGCUCGUAGGCGGCUUGUCGCGUCGACCGUGAAAACUUGGGGCUCAACCCCAAGCCUGCGGUCGAUACGGGCAGGCUCGAGUUCGGUAGGGGAGACUGGAAUUCCUGGUGUAGCGGUGAAAUGCGCAGAUAUCAGGAGGAACACCGAUGGCGAAGGCAGGUCUCUGGGCCGAUACUGACGCUGAGGAGCGAAAGCGUGGGGAGCGAACAGG